GGGACAGAUAUCUGACGGAGAUACGAGCGCUAAAAUAAUUUGUUUAUAAACAAAUCGACAUUGUCAGUUAGAAGUGCAGGGAAAACGUGAACGGUGAAGUACCAUAGACCUAGUGCUAAGUUUCCUUAUCAUGCCAACGUCUGCUGUGACACGGGACCUCCGCUUUUAAGGUCAUAUCCUAAAGACCUGUGGCUCUCGCUUAGAAGCCAAGUAUUUGGUGAAGGAGUAUAGAUCAAACUACCAAAAGCUUACAUUUUGUGUUUGACUAGGCCAUGGCAUCAGCAGGGCUCGAACUCGCGACCUCUAACUGUCUAAGUUACAAAGUGAUCGCUCUACCACUGAGCUACCGUAACCGUUCGAGAAACGAAGAAGUUGGUACAGAUUUAACCACCAGUUUUCAAGAAAUUAAAUUUUGAUGUUAAAAACGCUUUCCCCCCUGAAAUACAUGUAAUAAAAAAAAAUAUGAUGACUAAAAA